AAUGAAUAGGGUUAAUGAAAAGUUUGGUCGCUAGAUGCCGAAGAACAAAACAUCUAGCGGACAAAUUCUAAACUACACAUAUCUCUGUUACCCUUUAACACUUUAUGGAGAAGGAAUAGUGCGUGUGUAUGUCUUCUGGUUCCUGCUUUUUUUUUUUUCCCUCUCUCUCUCUCACAUUUUUUGUGUUUUGAAGGAUAAUUUAGCUAAAAUCAAAUGGUGCACAGCCAGGUGUAACAGAGUUGGAGGAAGAUCAAUGCCACAUAUUCUGUAGACUGGGAUACCUCCACUGGCUUCGAGCACUAUUUGUAAUCACAGUUGAAUGUUGCAGUUUUGUUGAUGCAUGCCAUUUGAAAACUGUAAAGUGUCCUUCUUCUUUAUGGUGCCAACCAUUAACCACCACCAUUUCAGCAGCCAUUGGCCCAUCUCCAGUUAGCCAGUCAACUGUCAACAUUAUCACCAUUUUAGCAGCCUUGUGAGAUGUGAGACAGCCAAUGAUCAAUAACAUCAGCACCUUUUUGGACAGGCAAGUGUUCAUCUACUUUUUGCUGUAAAAUUGCAGUACCUACAAUUUUUCAAGUCUUUGCCCUCCAUAGACUUAACACCCUUAUAAACUUCUCAUCUUGCUAUUGUCUGCCGUACAAAAUCAAACACGAAAAUUUCUCGCCCCAUCUUCGUUUCGUCAUCGUCCCUUUGGCGGCUCAUAUUCGUCCCGUUGCCACCUCGUCUUUCUUCCAAUUUUUGCUUCGUUGUCGCCUGGUCUUCGCCCCAUUUUCACUUCGUCGCCGCUUCGUCUUCGCUUCGUCUUCGCUUCGUCUUCGCUUCUUCGCCUCGUCUUCGCUUCGUCUUCGCCUCGUCUUCGCCACGUCUUCGCCACGUCUUCGCCACGUCUUCGCCACGUGCUCGCUGCCUAGUUCGUUCUUCGCGGUAUCGUUAUAUUUUGAAUGUAUAGUACUAGUUAACCCGUUGGCUGCCACCCCGUUUUUCUCCCCCUUUUUUUUUUAGCUGUAGGGACCGGGCGCGCUGUUCUGCCCCAUGGUCUAUAUGCCAUGGGGUGGGGCAGUUGCAAUGCCCUUGCUCCGCCGUAAGGCGGUUAGGCAAUGCACCAGUAGGGACUUCCCUUUGUUCGACACGUUGAUGGAUACCAGGAGUGUGCAUUCUCGUAAUGGUUUGCAUCAGCGUGUCAGCCCGGACUUGUCUACGGACAAGUCCCACCUUGGUCGCAAUCCUUCAGACUCGACACGUAGAAAAGUAGAGACACAACCUAAGGGUUGUACGGCUUG